rnacentral:rRNA from 1 species
AACCAGGAUGUUGGCUUAGAAGCAGCCAUCAUUUAAAGAAAGCGUAACAGCUCACUGGUCUAAAUAAGGGUCUUUGCGCCGAAAAUGUAACGGGGCUAAAGCCAUGCACCGAAGCUUUGGGUUUGCACUUUGUGCAAGCGGUAGCGGAGCGUUCCGUAAGCCGAUGAAGCCGUACCUGUGAGGGGCGGUGGAGGUAUCGGAAGUGCGAAUGCUGACAUGAGUAACGUAAGGGGUGUGAGAGACGCCCCCGCCGAAAGUC